rnacentral:rRNA from 1 species
GUAACACGUAUGCAACCUGCCCCAAACAGGGGGAUAGCCUCUCGAAAGAGAGAUUAAUACCCCAUAAUAAUGUUGUUAGGCAUCUAAUGAUAUUUAAAGCUGAGGCGGUUUGGGAUGGGCAUGCGGUUGAUUAGGUAGUUGGUGAGGUAACGGCUCACCAAGCCAACGAUCAAUAGGGGGUCUGAGAGGAUGUCCCCCCACACUGGUACUGAGACACGGACCAGACUCCUACGGGAGGCAGCAGUAGGGAAUAUUGGACAAUGGGGGCAACCCUGAUCCAGCCAUGCCGCGUGCAGGAAGACUGCCCUAUGGGUUGUAAACUGCUUUUGUACGGGAAGAAACCUCACUACGAGUAGUGAGUUGACGGUACCGUGAGAAUAAGGAUCGGCUAACUUCGUGCCAGCAGCCGCGGUAAUACGAAGGAUCCAAGCGUUGUCCGGAUUUACUGGGUUUAAAGGGUGCGUAGGCGGGCUAUUAAGUCAGUGGUGAAAGCCGAUCGCUUAACGAUCGAACUGCCAUUGAAACUGAUAGUCUUGAGUAUGUUUGAGGUUGCUGGAAUAUAACAUGUAGCGGUGAAAUGCUUAGAUAUGUUAUAGAACACCAAUUGCGAAGGCAGGUAACUAAGUCAUAACUGACGCUGAGGCA